UGCUGCGGUAGCUCAGUCAGCAGAGCAUGAGACUUUUGAUCUCGGGGUCGUGUGUUUGAGCCCCACAUUGGGCAA